UGUAAAAUAAGUAUUUAACACAUCUGUCAAUUUUCUAAAUGUUUUUCUUUUUAGCAACCCAACUAUAGAUGGCAUGAAAAUCUUAACCUGAAUCUUCCUGAAUUUGAUAGAAAGGCGGAUCAUCGCAUAAGUUGUUUCCACUGAAAAUAAACUGAUGCUUUUCCACCAAGACAUCUUAUCUUGUACAGUGAAGACACAUGGAAAAGGGGUGUGAAGAAGCAUGCAAAACGUAAUGAAAUUAAAGAACUAUGUGAUACCUAAGUGAAAAUGAAGACAGUAUUUGGAAGAAGUAAUCUUAGAGACAGAUUCCACCUCCUGAUGUAUUGAUACGAUUACCCGCUGUUAUGUGAGUCAUCCAUUUGCCUCUGAAGGGAUUUUGCUUCUACCAAAC
rnacentral:lncRNA from 1 species